rnacentral:rRNA from 1 species
AACGAACGCUGGCGGCAUGCCUAACACAUGCAAGUCGAACGAGACCUUCGGGUCUAGGGGCGCACGGGUGCGUAACGCGUGGGAACCUGCCCUUAGGUUCGGAAUAACUCCCCGAAAGGGGUGCUAAUACCGGAUAAUGUCUUCGGACCAAAGAUUUAUCGCCUUAGGAUGGGCCCGCGUUGGAUUAGCUAGUUGGUAGGGUAAAAGCCUACCAAGGCGACGAUACAUAGCUGGUCUGAGAGAAUGAUCAGCCACACUGGGACUGAGACACGGCCCAGACUCCUACGCGAGGCAGCAGUGGGGAAUAUUGGACAAUGGGCGAAAGCCUGAUCCAGCAAUGACGCGUGAGUGAUGAAGGCCUUAGGGUUGUAAAGCUCUUUUAACCGGGAUGAUAAUGACAGUACCGGGAGAAUAAGCUCCGGCUAACUCCGUG